rnacentral:rRNA from 1 species
UACGUAGGGUGCAAGCGUUAAUCGGAAUUAUUGGGCGUAAAGGGUGCGCAGGCGGUAUUGUAAGUCAGAUGUGAAAGCCCCGGGCUUAACCUGGGAAUUGCGUUUGAAACUGCAAUGCUAGAGUGUGGUAGAGGAGAGUGGAAUUCCAUGUGUAGCAGUGAAAUGCGUAGAGAUGUGGAAGAACACCAAUGGCGAAGGCAGCUCUCUGGAUUAACACUGACGCUCAUGCACGAAAGCGUGGGGAGCAAACAGG